AGCAAAUAUACAUAAUUUCAAUCAUGGUCAAAAAAGCAUGGGCAUUAAGAUAUUCAAGUAUUAGUACCAUGAAGGGGCCAUUGCUUGGUGCAAAAUGUAAAAGUCAUGGACAUGCAACUGCAGGACUGCAGAUUUAGGUCUUAAGAGAAUCCACUUGGCCCACUGGGUAGGACUGUCAACAAUUUGGUCCCAGUGACCAGUCCCACUUUAUUGAGACCAUAACUGGAGGAUGGACUAUCAUAAAAAAGGAGAUGGCUUAAAUAGAAUAGCUAGAACAAACAACAAGAAAAUAUGUAUAUUCUUUUCUUUUUAUUUAGGCUUUUUUUUCCUUUUUCAAUUUUGUAAGCAUUAUAGGAUUAUAAAGAAUGUUUGGUGUACCAUGCGCUUAGUGUAAUACAAUGAAAUACGUUUUUCAUUCAUCAUUUUGUCGAUCCAUCAGAAGAAAGGAUGAGAGAUAGAAGAACUUCUUUUGUCCUAAGAAUUUUUUGCUAAAUUCAAUGCUAAACAUAAUUCCAAAUUGACACUGUCAAGAUUUAAAGGGGAGAAAG
rnacentral:misc_RNA from 1 species